rnacentral:rRNA from 1 species
CCUGGCGAAAGCCAGGUUAAUACCGCAUACGUCCUGAGGGAGAAAGCGGGGGAUCGCAAGACCUCGCGUUAUAGGAGCGGCCGAUGUCGGAUUAGCUAGUUGGUGGGGUAAAGGCCUACCAAGGCGACGAUCUGUAGCGGGUCUGAGAGGACGGCCCGCCACACUGGGACUGAGACACGGCCCAGACUCCUACGGGAGGCAGCAGUGGGGAAUUUUGGACAAUGGGGGCAACCCUGAUCCAGCCAUUCCGCGUGAGUGAAGAAGGCCUUCGGGUUGUAAAGCUCUUUCGGCCGGGAAGAAAUCGUGCGGGCCAAUACCCUGUAUGGAUGACGGUACCGGAAGAAGAAGCACCGGCUAACUACGUG